CUCUGAAGCUAAGCGGGACUGGAUCUGCUUAGUACUUUGAUGGGAGACCACUGGGGACUGUAGGAGCCAGAGU
rnacentral:rRNA from 1 species